UACGUAGGGUGCAAGCGUUGUCCGGAAUUAUUGGGCGUAAAGAGCUCGUAGGCGGUUUGUUGCGUCGGCUGUGAAAUCCCGAGGCUCAACCUCGGUCGUGCAGCUCGAUACGAGCAAACUAGAGUGUUGCAGGGGAGACUGGAAUUCCCGGUGUAGCGGUGAAAUGCGCAGAUAUCGGGAGGAACACCCGUAGCGAAGGCGGUUCUCUGGGCAUGAUCUGACGCUGAGGAGCGAAAGUGUGGGGAGCGAACAGG
rnacentral:rRNA from 1 species